rnacentral:rRNA from 1 species
UACGAAGGGGGCUAGCGUUGCUCGGAAUUACUGGGCGUAAAGGGAGCGUAGGCGGACAUUUAAGUCAGGGGUGAAAUCCCAGAGCUCAACUCUGGAACUGCCUUUGAUACUGGGUGUCUUGAGUGUGAGAGAGGUAUGUGGAACUCCGAGUGUAGAGGUGAAAUUCGUAGAUAUUCGGAAGAACACCAGUGGCGAAGGCGACAUACUGGCUCAUUACUGACGCUGAGGCUCGAAAAGCGUGGGGGAGCAAACAGG